CCCUUAGAUGUUCUGGGCCGCACGCGUGCUACACUGAGUAAAUCAAUGGGUAAGGGAACACGAAAGUGCAACCUAAUCUUGAAAUUUGCUCGUGAUGGGGAUCGACGGUUGCAAUUUUCCGUCGUGAACGAGGAAUACCUUGUAGGCGCGUGUCAUCAUCACGCGCCGAAUACGUCCCUGCCCUUUGUACACACCGCCCGUCGCUCCUACCGAUUGAGUGAUCCGGUGAGGCUCUGGGACCUGGACGGAAAGAGCGUUUCGCUUGGUCUGUUUGGGAAACUUGGUCGAACCUUAUCAUUUAGAGGAAGGAGAAGUCGUAACA
rnacentral:rRNA from 1 species